GUGGGGAAUUUUGGACAAUGGGCGAAAGCCUGAUCCAGCCAUGCCGCGUGCAGGAUGAAGGCCUUCGGGUUGUAAACUGCUUUUGUACGGAACGAAAAGACUCCUUCUAAUAAAGGGGGUCCAUGACGGUACCGUAAGAAUAAGCACCGGCUAACUACGUGCCAGCAGCCGCGGUAAUACGUAGGGUGCAAGCGUUAAUCGGAAUUACUGGGCGUAAAGCGUGCGCAGGCGGUUAUAUAAGACAGAGGUGAAAUCCCCGGGCUCAACCUGGGAACUGCAUUUGUGACUGUAUAGCUAGAGUACGGUAGAGGGGGAUGGAAUUCCGCGUGUAGCAGUGAAAUGCGUAGAUAUGCGGAGGAACACCGAUGGCGAAGGCAAUCCCCUGGACCUGUACUGACGCUCAUGCACGAAAGCGUGGGGAGCAAACAGGAUUAGAAACCCCGGUAGUCC
rnacentral:rRNA from 1 species